UAAAGAUUACGAGUCGUGUCCGUUUGACUCACCGUUUGGUACCAUAGGUUGGUACGAUCUUCGUUCGAGAAGGAAAAGGGAUGUUCCAGAUACAGAAAAUCGUCAAACCAUUUACCACAAAGUCCGUUUCUGGGUGGAGUUAGUGGAACCGAAAAAGAUGUCUCCCUCACAGCGUUCGUGACAAAAGAAUUGCAUCGUUCCUUGGCGGCCUUUCAACAGAAGAAUAUUCAGAGAUUUCCCGAGUGGUCCUUAUGGGAACAGGAAAAAUGACAAGCUGGAAAAUUUUGCAAGUAAUCUUUGGGCCAGCCUGGAAUCUUCCCAUCCUCUGGCCAUGACCUUGUGACCCUGCUUGGAGGUUGUACUUACAGUUUCAGAAGUGAUCAAUUCCAGUGAGGAUGUCUGUACUAAGGUGAAAGCUCACGCACAGUUCUUCACGACGGGAAAAAUGGCUCCAUUCAGACUCUGGAGAUUCAGAGAUAGCAAGAACUGCAGAUGCUGGAGCCAGAGGUAACACAGCGUGGAGCUGGAGAGUAUCAGAGAGGGUAAGUGAAGAAGGGUGUUCCUAAUGACUGGAGAUUGCAGAACCAAAGGUCACAGACUAAGGAUACACAGUAGAACGAAGAUGAGGAGAAAUGUCUUCGCCAAGAGAAUGUUUCCACUUGGAAGAAAGAUUCACAUCAAAUUGACUGGUCAAGGAAAUGGGACACUGACUAACCAUACGAUUAGACUAUUUUGAUGAGGAAUUCAAAGAUUACGAGUCCCAUCCGUUUGACUCACAGUUUGGUACCAUGGGUCGGUACGAUCUUCGUUCGAGAAGGAAAAGGGAUUUUCCAGAUACAGAAAAUCGUCAAACCAUUUACGACAAAGUCCGUUUCUGAACCUACCCCGGAAGAGAGAGCCCAGAGAAUUGCCAAAGCUGUCCGCAAACAGUCAACAGAAGUGAAGGAAAAUUGGGAGCAAUUGAAAACCCGUGCGAGCAACUGGCAGAAACAGGUGGAAAAGGCGUUGGAGAAACUUCAAGAACUGCAGAAAGCUCUGGAUGAUCUUGAGGCUCAUGUGAUAACAGCUGAGGGGGUCCACACUGAUUGGCAACCUGUGGGUGACCUGCUUAUUGAUUCAUUGCAGGAUCACAUUGAUAAAACCACAGGUAAGGACUAUCUGCAAAAUAUGAGAUUGGGUUUUGAAAGACAGCAGCCUUUGUUUUGGAGAGAUAAUGGGAACUGCAGAUGCUGGAGAAUGCGAGAUAACACCGUGUGGAACUGGAUGAAGACAGCAGGCCAAGCAGCAUCUUAGGAGCACAAAAGCUGAUGUUUCGGGCCGAGAACCUUCUUCAGAAAAUGGGGAGGGGGUGCGGGUUCUGGAAUAAAUAGGGAGAGAGGGGGAGGCGGAUGGAAGAUGGAUGGAGGAGAAGAUAGGUGGAGAGGAGAGUAUGGGUAGGGAGGCAGGGAGGGGAUAGGUCAGUCUGGGGAGGCCGGACAGGUCAAGGGAGCGGGAUGAAGGGAAAUAGGGGUGCGGCAUGAGGUGGGAGGGGGUAUGGGUGAGAAGAAGAAUAGGUCAGGGAGGCGGGGACGAGCUGGGCUGGUUUUGGGAUGCAGUGGGAGGACAGGAGAUUUGGAAGCUUGUGAAAUCCACACUGAUACCAUUGGGCUGCAGGGUUCCCAAGCAGAAUAUGAGUUGCUGUUCCUGCAACCUUGGGGUGGCGUCAUUAUGGCACUGCAGGAGGCCCAGGUUGGACGUGUCCUCUCAGGAACGGGAGGGGGAGUUGAAAUGGUUCGUGACUGGGAGGUGCAGUUGUUUAUUGCAAACUGAGCGUAGGUGUUCUGAAAAGCGGCCCCCAAGCCUCUGCAUCGUUUCCCCAAUGUAGAGGAAGCCACAACGGGGACAGCGGAUGUUUUGGAUAUUUCUUGAGCAUUGAUUUUCAUUCAGAGUUGGUUGGAUUUUGCUGAAGCAAUAGACAUAACUCACUAUGACGUAGACAAUGUCAGAGUUAAUGUUUCGCGUCCUGUGACCCUUCCUCAGAUCUCACUCUUCACUGAUGCUGCCAGACCUGCUGAGCUUUUCGAGCAACUUCUGCUUUUGUUGCUGAUUUACAGUGCCCACAGUUCUGUUGUUUUUUACAACACAGACAAAACUUGAUCUCUGCAGGAAGCAUGAUGCUGCAUUCUCCAACUUCCCUGACCUUUUGUAAUAUAAUAUUGUCUUUUUAGGACAGAAGUGGCUUUUUUUUGUUUGUUUUAACUUCUGCACAUACUUUCUAUGCAGGUUAAAAGUCUACACCUUUUCAGUUCACUGCAGUGCUGCAUAAUGAAGACUUGGAACAAUUUUUUUAUAUAAAGUAGAAAAUCAAUGUGGUUUGUUUUCCAAAAUGUGAUGUCAGCUUUCCUGGAGCAAGUCUGUUUUCCCUCGGAUGAGACGACUUUCAGACAUACUCCCUUUAUUAUGAGAUAUAAUUGGGGUAAAAUGAGGAGGAUUUUUAUUCACUGAGACACACAUGACUAUAUGUUUAAAGCAUUGGAAAAUGCAUUCUGUUCGGACUAUCAUGUUAUCUGGUGUUUGUACCAGGCUUUCCGAUUAAAUGCAAGUGAUUAAGGAUGCUAAUGAUGCCACAUGUUAUUACAAGAAGAAAUGAACAUCCAAGUAAGGAUUUUAUGCCACAUUUAUACAUAGCAUGGACCACGCAGCAUGGAUGCAGUGACGGAGUGAAAUGGGAUGCCGUGACCGAGUGAAAUGGGUUGCCGUGACCGAGUGAAAUGGGUUGCCGUGACCGAGUGAAAUGGGAUGCCGUGACCGAGGGAACUGGGAUGCCGUGACCGAGGGAACUGGGAUGCCGUGACCGAGGGAACUGGGAUACAGUGCCUCAGUGAGAUGCUCACAGCGAAUUGUCCCCUGCAGUCCUGACCCGCUCACACUGACUAGCCCCUGCAGGUCUGACCCGCUCACAGUGACUAGCCCCUGCAGUCCUGACCCGGUCACAGCGACACGCCCCUUCAGUCCUGUCCCAAUCACAGGGACUUGCCCUCUCCGUCCUUACCCACUCACAGCGACUUGCCCCCUCAGUCCUCACCCACUCACAGCGACUUGCCACCUCAGUCUUGACCCGCUCACAGCGACCUCCCCCCUCUGUCCUGACCCCCUCAGAGCGACCUACCCCUCCGUGCUGACCCGCUCACAGUGAGUUGCCCCUGCAGUCCUGACCCCCCUCACAGUGACCUGCCCCCUCACUCCUGACAUGCUGUGCGUUGAGGAAACCAAGCGGAGGCUUGGGGACCGCUUUGCAGAACACCUCCGCUCGGUUCGCAACAAACAACUGCACCUCCCAGUCGCGAACCAUUUUAACUCCCCCUCCCAUUCCUUAGACGACAUGUCCAUCAUGGGCCUCCUGCAGUGCCACAAUAAUGCCACCCAAAGGUUGCAAGGACAGCAACUCCUCAUCCGCUUGGGAACCCUGCAACCCAAUGGUUUCAAUGUGGACUUCACAAGCUUCAAAAUCUCCCCCUCCCCAACUGCAUCCCAAAACCAGCCCAGUUCUUCCCCUCCCGCAACUGCAUCACAAAACCAGCCCAGCCUGUCUCCGCCUCCCUAACCUGUUGUUCCUCUCACCCAUCCCUUCCUCCCACCUCAAGCCACACCUCCAUUUCCUACCUACCACCUCAUCCUGCCUCCUUGACUUGUCCGUCUUCCCUGGACUGACCUAUCCCCUCCCUACCUCCUCACCUGUACUCUCCUCUCGACCUAUCUUGUUUUCUCUCCAUCUUCGGUCCGCAUCCCCCCCUCUCCCUAUUUAUUCCACUUCCCUCUCCCAUCCCCCUCUCUGAUGAAGGGUCUCGGCCUGAAAUGUCAGCUUUUGUGCUCCUGAGAUGCUGCUUGGCCUGCUGUGUUCAUCCAGCUCCACACUUUGUUAUUUUGGAUUCUCCAGCAUCUGCCAUUAUCAGUGGCCUUUCCUCUUUGUCAAAGUUUGUGCAAAAGCAACACGAUGUGGGGCGGCACGGUGGCUCAGUGGUAAGCACUGCAGCUUCACAGCACUGGGGACUCAGGUUCAAUUCCAGCCUCAGGCAACUGUUUGUGUGGAAUUUGCACCUUGUCCCUGUGUCUGCGUGGGUUUCCUCCAGGUGCUCCGGUCUCCUCCCACAGUCCAAAGAGGUGCACGCUAGGUGGAUUGGCCAUGCUAAAUUGCCCAUAGUGUUCAGGGGCGUGGGUCUGGGUGGGAUGCUCCAAGGUUUGGUGUGCACUUGUUGGGCCAAAGGGCCUGUUUCCACACUGUAGGGAAUCUAAACAAUCCUGUUCCCACAUCUCCAUGUACCCUGCUGAUCACUGCACACAGAGAUGUUUGAUAACAAAAGGACAACAAUAAUAUUCAAACCCAGUGCUGGAGAUGUAUUUUAAAUACCCUGAGGCCAGUGUCGAUCUCCAAUUCAACUUUUAUUUACAAAUGAACUGUCUUCAACUUUAGCACUGCCUCAUUCAGAGAUAGUUGCCAGGGUGUCAGCAUCUCUGACCCUCACACGACUUAUCUGUCAGCCAGGGCUCCCUGAUUUGGGCUGUUAAUAUGGACCAAUCAGGCAACUCAUAUUCUGUGAGGUUCAACUGGCCGACCUGGUCACAAACCAGUGCGGUGUGUUCAUCGAAAAUCAAACGUACUAGAAAGGUACCAUUACAUAGCAGUACAAAGGAAGGCAUGAGGCUAAACUGGGGAGGGAAGGGAACUGCGUAUUGGGGGUGGCCCAGAGAGUGGAAGAAAAUCGAAUGGGAAGAAGACCAUUUGAGACUGAGGGAGAGACAUGUAAUUGCCUGAAUGAGGCAUUCCAAUUGCGAAAUGGAUUUUUGUUGUACAUCAUGUUCAGUUUCCCCGAUCUUAAUCUGUACUCCUCUUUAAAUCAUUAGUAUCUGAAAUUUCUGUAUCAUUUCCAAAUGUUCUGUCUCUAAUGUUGUGCUGUUGGAAUUGGUUGAACUGCAGAGAUAUUAUUUAUUUGCACAAAUGUGUUCAGUGAAAUGAGUUGCAUGCUAUAUAUGUAUUAUUCUUCCUGAUUCUAU